rnacentral:rRNA from 1 species
ACGGGAGGCAGCAGUGAGGAAUAUUGGUCAAUGGGCGAAAGCCUGAACCAGCCAAGUCGCGUGCAGGAUGACGGCCCUAUGGGUUGUAAACUGCUUUUAUAAGGGAAUAAAGUGAGCUACGUGUAGCUUUUUGCAUGUACAUUAUGAAUAAGGAUCGGCUAAUUCCGUGCCAGCAGCCGCGGUAAUACGGAAGGUGCGAGCGUUAUCCGGAUUUAUUGGGUUUAAAGGGAGCGUAGGCGGCCUUUUAAGCGUGUUGUGAAAUGUCGGAGCUCAACUUCGGCACUGCAGUGGGAACUGGAGUGCUUGAGUGCGGAGGAAGUAGGCGGAAUUCGUCGUGUAGCGGUGAAAUGCUUAGAUAUGACGAAGAACUCCGAUUGCGAAGGCAGCUUACUGUCGCGUAACUGACGCUGAAGCUCGAAAGUGCGGGUAUCGAACAGGAUUAGAUACCCUGGUA